rnacentral:rRNA from 1 species
CCCUUAGAUGUUCUGGGCCGCACGCGCGCUACACUGAUGCAUUCAACGAGUCUAAAACCUGGUCUGAUAGGGCUGGGUAAUCUUUUGAAAGUGCAUCGUGAUUGGGAUAAAUGAUUGCAAUUCUUCAUCUUCAACGAGGAAUGCCUAGUAAACGCAAGUCAUCAGCUUGCAUUGAUUACGUCCCUGCCCUUUGUACACACCGCCCGUCGCUCCUACCGAUUGAAUGAUCCGAUGAAUACCAUGGAUUGAGAGUACGAAUAGGUUCGCUUAUUUCUGCUGCUCGAGAAGUGGAGUAAAUCUUAUCAUUUAGAGGAAGGAGAANUCGUANCA